AGCAGUAGCCACGGUAACACGUAGGGUGCAAGCGUUGUCCGGAAUCAUUGGGCGUAAAGCGCGCGUAGGUGGCCAUUUAAGUCCGCUGUGAAAGUCAAAGGCUCAACCUUUGAAAGCCGGUGGAUACUGGAUGGCUAGAGUACGGAAGAGGCGAGUGGAAUUCCUGGUGUAGCGGUGGAAUGCGCAGAUAUCAGGAGGAACACCAAUAGCGAAGGCAGCUCGCUGGGACGUUACUGACACUGAGGCGCGAAAGCGUGGGGAGCGAACAGGAUUAGAUACCCCUGUAGUCCCUGUCUCUUAUAC
rnacentral:rRNA from 1 species